CUCCACACUGUUUUGAUUGCUUUUUUAGAUUAGUUGAAUUUUAAAAUUGUUUUUAUUUUUAAAACUAGAUACAGUAUAUGGAAGUUUAUGACAACAUAUCAUUUUGUUCAAAAAGAUUUUUAAGCGUGCUACCUGACACUUUCAUUUAGUUUUGAAACAUGGUUCUUUUUUUUUUUUUCUUUUAUACUCUACCUAUUCUUUUACGAUAUUAGUCUUUUUUGUAAGUCUGUACAUAUUUCAAUUCCUGGCCUGAACUAAAGAAAAUAGCUUAUGCUGAUUAAUCAGUUACUCAACUAGAGCUUGGAGUAGCACUCAAGUCCUUGUUGAACAAAUGAAUUGCUAAACACUAGAGAGAAUGAUGCAUUCAAAGCACACUGAGCUUGAUGAACCUAGAAAUAAAUGAGGAGAGUAACAAUUAUUAAAGGUCAUCAACAGUUCAGCAAAUGUGGAAGUUUGUCCCUUUGUUUCACCUUUAUAACCUACAGACUUAUUUUCACAAAAGGAGUCUCAUUAGGUAUUUUUAAUAGGUGUGUAGAGUCAUUAGCCUUCAAAAUAAAAACAGUUGAUAAAGUUGUCACACAUAGAAAAUCACUUUAAGAGAGCCAUGAGGUUGAGAGUAUACAGGUCAAUUACUUUCCCAAUGAACUACAUAAUCCCUUGGCAAUCUUUCCUUUUUAGAUAUUUAAAGAAACGAUCCAAGUCCCAACAUCAGGAGACGAAAAUCCCUUGGCAAUCUUUCCUUUUUAGAUAUUUAAAGAAACGAUCCAAGUCCCAACAUCAGGAGACGAAAGUCAGAGGAUCAUGUAGGGACUUACGGAGGACUACAAUCAUCUGAACUUCAUAUUUCAGAAGAUGCAGAACAGACAAAACAAACUAUAUGGUACAGUUUUUCUUUUUACAGGUUUAUUUUACUGGGGGAGUUGGUAGUUUUACUCUCUCAGAUGCUAAGUAGGUGUUUUACAUACAUUUUGGGAUGAUAUGACAUAAUACUAUACAAUGCAAUUAUAAUAUGAUAUAAAAUAACA
rnacentral:lncRNA from 1 species